GUCACGCCCCCAAACCCAACUCCCGGGUCCGGCACGCGACCGGCCGCAUGAGCCCUAGAGCAAUGCCCUAAAGAUCAUGCAAGGCCUAAGAUAAACAACAAUUCCAAUAAUUCCAAUAAUUUCAUAAAUGCCAAAAUCAAAGAUUGAUGUAAUUCAAUCAAAUCCAGCUACAAUGUACUGAAUGAUUACACAAUUUCAAAUGUCCAUAAAUAAAAGAUAAAUUGACUUCUAACUAUCUAGCAGUCUGACUCCAGAUCGAGCUCACUUCUUGUCCCAUCCGACAGAUUCUACGAAUCCAGUGCCUCUGAAAAAAAAAUGAAAGUGUAGUAUGAGCUUUUCCAGCCCAGUAAGAAUCCCAACAGCCACACACAACAAAAUCAUAAAAUAAUCAAGUAUCAAAAUAUAUAUANN
rnacentral:lncRNA from 1 species